rnacentral:lncRNA from 1 species
CAGCGGAAUGUAUAUGAGACUCGAAGAACUCUAAAAUCCCUAGGAUGACCUACGGAACCCUAGAAAAGAGGGGAAACUGGAUUUGGACCGAUUAAACGGUGGGAAUGGUGUUUUAAUCGGUGGAGAUGGAAGAUCGAAGGUUGGAAAGGUGUUUAAUCGGUCUAAAAGUCGAAUCAAUCGGUAGAAAUGGAUGGAGAUGAUAAAUAAAGGUUUUUAAUCGGUAGAAAACCUAGCAAGAUGGAGGAGGAGGAUGAAUCUAUGAAGAGGAGUAGUUCUUACCGGUGAAAAUGGCCACGAUGGUGGAUCUGUGAUGAGGAAAUGGCGUGAAGGCACUGGAACAAGAAACCCUAGCAGAGGUGGUUUGAGUUUCGUAGAGAAGACGCGAAAUGAAAGUGAUGAUAUGUGUGAGAGAAGAAUGAGGCAUCAAAUGAGAUGCGGCUGACGAAGCUUCAAGAGAAAGACGUGUGGCUGCGUGCUUGAAGCUUAUUGGAGGAGAGGUAAAUCUGUGUUAGUGAGGAGAGAGAAGCACGGUGGAAAAAUGGAAAAUGAAGUGAGAGAAUGUGCUUGGAAGGUGGCUAGAGGGAGUCUUUGGACUCUCUAGCCUAUGACUUUCAAGAGAGAAUAUUUUUCUGAUUUAGAAAAUUCUAUUCUCAUUAAUCUCAAAAGUGAAGUACAAUAAGGUAGGCAUGACUAUUUAUAAGACUAGAGGUCCUACAUGCCUAACACAAUACAAAAUACAUCAAAGAAAUACUAAACUAAAGAAAUUGGGCUUGGGCCCCGUGUAUCAGAUUUCUUUUAGGAACUUUGUAGAGUCUUUGAAUGUCAAUAUGUUUUAGAUAGUUUCUAGGAUGCUUUAAUUCUUUCAAAAAUGUUUCUGGAAAUAGAACUUAGUGUAGGUUUCUUUUAUUUUGCUUCCCUGUUUUAAAUUUUCACAUUAGGUUUUUAGUCUUUGGGUUCUGUUUUGGUUUUUAAUAGCUUCCUCAGUUCGUGUCUAUUCAUUGCUACUGUUAGGAUGUUCUUAGGCUCUCUUUCUUUUAGAUUAGAAUCUGUUUCAGUUUAACAUAGGUUCUUUUGUUACAUAUUGUCCAGUUAUAGCUUUUAUAGAUUGUAUAUAGCUUUUAGAUAUUUCUAGAUUCUGUUAGGUCUGUUUAGGUGUUUUUAAGUUUUGUAUCAAGCUUUUCUUCAUUCUUGCUGAAUUCAUUAAAUUUUUAGCUUCAUUUCCUUAGAUUUGAAUUGUCAAGAGUAGACUUAGCUUUAGAUUUAGGCAGAGGUAGNUCUAGCAUUGAUUUUUGCAGUCUCUAGUUCAUUUCAAUUCAGUAUUUUUUGCAUAGGAUGAGUAGCAAGUCAUUUUUAACAAUUUUUAAACCCUUGAGAGAUUUUGGACCAGUUUUUGUCUUUCUUGUGUGAUAACAUGCAUGUUUAAUUAUCAUUCUGAUUUUGCAUUGAUUCUUUGUUGAUGUGCUUGCUCUUGGUAACUUUGAAUAUGAUCUAGGCAUCCUUUAUUUUUCCAUUUUAGCUUAUCCAUUUUAUUUUCUUACCAUUGCACCUUAUUUUGAACCUUAGCCUAUUUUCUUUUCUUGUUUCCAUCCAUUUCAAGCCAUUUCCCCCCAACCAAUCAUUCCUUAGAGACUUGUGAGAUGUAGGGAGAGGUCUAGAACUUGGUGAAUGCAUUAAAAAGGGUGAGGGCAGAGGUGAAAAGAAAAGAAAAAUGAUGCGAGAAAAAUCUAGUUGUGCUGAAAAGAAUGAACAAGUCUGAAAAUGAGAAAAAGAUCAGAAAAAGAAAUUGAAAAAGAGACUUGAAAAGAAUGUCAUAGAAAGAGAACCAGAGAAAAAGGAAAGAAAAAUAGGCUUGAGAAAUAGUUACACUGAGUUUUAGUUUUCUCCCUUGUUCUUCACACUUCUCUGUUUCAUUCCCGUUCUCAUUAUUCACUGUUUUUCCAUUUCAUUCCAUGAACAUUACAAGCCAAAUAAAGACCUAUUGAUUUAGAGAAACCUUGAGUUAAGCACUAAGAUUUAAAAUCUUUUCAAAGUUGUGAAUGGUGGUUAGCAUGUCAUGAUUGAGUGAAACAGGAUUAUCCCCAAACACUUGAGCGAAUAUAAGAGCAUACACUGCAUCCUGUGAGGUUGAGACUGACUGCUACUUUUUCAUAUGUUUGCUUUGCUGAUUUUGAUUGGAUUGAGCUGUUUAAUACUUGCUGGAAUUGCUGAAGCUUGAGUUUGAAGUUGAGAUAUCUUUUAUACAGUUCUAAUUUGAUGAAAUAGCUAGAAUUGGGGUGGUUUGGCAGGUUUGAGUUAGCUGAAAUAGAAUAUAGGAGUUUUUUAUUCUGUCUUUGGUGUUUUCCUCUUUAGUUUGAGUCUUUUCCUUUGAAGAUUGAGUCUUUCUUUUCCUUUUUAGUUUUAGUUUGUCCCUGUCCAGGAGGGCAGUUGUCUAAGUGUGGGGGUGUGAUAACUCUCUAAUUUUGCAUCUUUUUCUAGUCUUAGAAGUCUUUCUUAGUUUCUUUUUCUUCUUAAUUGUUUAGAAUUAGAUAAGUUUUUGGUUUUUCUUUAAAUUCUUUAGUUUUUAUAAAAUUGUAGUUAAAAUUAGGAUUUUAGAGGUAUUUUUUUUAGUCUUUGUUAAUAAAUAGGAAAUUAGUAUUUUUGGAAAAUAUUUUGAAAAAAUUCUUUUCUUUAU